rnacentral:rRNA from 1 species
UAGCUAGUUGGUGAGGUAAAGGCUUACCAAGGCGACGAUCUGUAGCGGGUCUGAGAGGAUGAUCCGCCACACUGGAACUGAGACACGGUCCAGACUCCUACGGGAGGCAGCAGUGGGGAAUUUUGGACAAUGGGGGCAACCCUGAUCCAGCCAUGCCGCGUGAGUGAAGAAGGCCUUCGGGUUGUAAAGCUCUUUCGGCCGGGAAGAAAUCGCAUGGGCCAAUACCCUGUGUGGAUGACGGUACCGGAAUAAGAAGCACCGGCUAACUACGUGCCAGCAGCCGCGGUAAUACGUAGGGUGCGAGCGUUAAUCGGAAUUACUGGGCGUAAAGCGUGCGCAGGCGGUUUUGUAAGACAGGCGUGAAAUCCCCGGGCUUAACCUGGGAACUGCGUUUGUGACUGCAAGGCUAGAGUACGGCAGAGGGGGGUGGAAUUCCACGUGUAGCAGUGAAAUGCGUAGAGAUGUGGAGGAACACCAAUGGCGAAGGCAGCCCCCUGGGUCGAUACUGACGCUCAUGCACGAAAGCGUGGGUAGCAAACAGGAUUAGAUACCCUGGUAGUCCACGCCCUAAACUAUGUCAACUAGGUGUUGGGUGGGUAAAACCAUUUAGUACCGUAGCUAACGCGUGAAGUUGACCGCCUGGGGAGUACGGCCGCAAGGUUAAAACUCAAAGGAAUUGACGGGGACCCGCACAAGCGGUGGAUGAUGUGGAUUAAUUCGAUGCAACGCGAAAAACCUUACCUACCCUUGACAUGCCAGGAACUUGCCAGAGAUGGCUUGGUGCCCGAAAGGGAGCCUGGACACAGGUGCUGCAUGGCUGUCGUCAGCUCGUGUCGUGAGAUGUUGGGUUAAGUCCCGCAACGAGCGCAACCCUUGUCGUUAAUUGCCAUCAUUUAGUUGGGCACUUUAACGAGACUGCCGGUGGCAAACCGGAGGAAGGUGGGGAUGACGUCAAGUCCUCAUGGCCCUUAUGGGUAGGGCUUCACACGUCAUACAAUGGUCGGUACAAAGGGUUGCCAAGCCGCGAGGCGGAGCCAAUCCCAGAAAGCCGAUCGUAGUCCGGAUUGCAGGCUGCAACUCGCCUGCAUGAAGUCGGAAUCGCUAGUAAUCGUGGAUCAGCAUGUCACGGUGAAUACGUUCCCGGGUCUUGUACACACCGCCCGUCACACCAUGGGAGCGGGUUCCGCCAGAAGUAGGUAGCCUAACCGCAAGGGGGGCGCUUACCACGGCGGGGUUCGUGACUGGGGUGAAGUCGUAACAAGGUAGCCGUAGGGGAACCUGCGGCUG